AUUUCUCUUGGUCUGCCAAAGGAAGAAAAGGGAAGAAAAGAAGAAGAACAAAACCCUAGCUAAGAAAUUCAAGAGAAAUUCACCAAAUUUCAAGAAAUCAAGCCAUCAAAGGUGAAAUUUUUUUAUUCUAGCUUGUGAUCUACCUUUCCUAUGCAUUAUUUUGUAUUUUCCAUGGUUGAAUCACAAGAUAUCAUGAAGGAUAGUGUUCUGAUCAAACCUUAGGAGAGAGAAUUUGUUGAUGAAUUUAGUUAGAAAACAUGUUAUUCUAGUGUUUUUAGUUGUUUGGUGAUGUGUAGUAUAAAAAGCAAGCAAGAAAAAUUCAUGUUCUUACAUUACCUUCAUUGGCCG
rnacentral:lncRNA from 1 species